UCCAGAGGCUAGAUAUAUAGGAGGUUGUGGCUGCUCCAGCAGCUUGGAUUCAGAGUGAGAAGGCAUAAAGGAGAAUCCCCAGCUGACUUGUGCAGUGGUUAAUUGAAAUUAUUCAGGCAAGAGAUGAUGGUGUCUUGGACCAGGGGAUGAGGAAGGCUACAAAAUGUGUCUACCUGUAUUCUGUGAGGAGAACGUGUUCCCUGGUUUUAGAUACUGUGAAGAUGGAUCAGGAGAGAGUUUAUCUAGACUGUUGGGGAAAGGUGUUGCGAUUCCUUCAGCUACACAGGAUUGAAAGGAGACAUUUCUGAAGGGGAAAAAGGAAAUGAAAGAAAAGAUGUUUCAGAUUGAGGAUAUGCUGUGUGGUGAACUUGUUCUUCACUCUGUAGGGUUCACAAAUGACUCUUCACUGCCCUCUUGGAUGAAAUAAACUGGUUCCCAUAGAAAUGGACCGUCUCUGAUUUCACAGUCUAGAGCACACAAAUAACUCAACUUUCUGGAAGCAAGGGUGAUGGCUCGUGAGAGCUCAAGGACAAGGAGGAGUCUGUAGAAGCACACCUGGACUCGGGGAAAUCAUUGACCUCUCAUCCUGAAUUAAGUAGCGCUUGAAAAGACUCUCUUUGAAUCAGAAAAAUAAUGCGAGCUCCUAUCAAACUACCUUACACAGCCAACUGAGUGAUCAUAGGCUUGGGUGGAAAAAAUGUAAUUCGUAGAACCUUUUAAGAGCUAAGAUUCCUUAAUCAACAUGGAUACCGUCUUGUUGAAUGACACCGAACUGUGCUGCGCAGGAUUCGGUUGCAUGGUGGCUGGAGCUGCCUCUCUGGGACCCAAAUCUCAGACCUGCUGCAAAGUGACUAUAUGAUCUGCAACUUGCUAACCCUUCUAGGCUUUUGUUUUAUUAUUUACAUAAUGAAGUGAGGGGAAUAUGUUCCUUGUAAAUUUGUUAAGAGGAUUAAAUUAGUUCAUGUCAAAUGAUUUAGAACACUGUCUGCCACAUAUUAAGGACUCAACAAAUACUACCUAUUAUUAACAAUGUGCCCUAAAUCUGUAAAUCACUCAAUAAUACAUGGCAUUAGGCUAAAUAUGGAAGGUAGAAGGAAAUAAAUUGUCCAGAAGCUAAAAAUAUGAAAGACUCUUCAUAUAUUUAAAAUAUUUUCUUUAAUUCUUUUGUUUUUUUCUUUUUUGAGACAGAGUCUCGCUCCGUCACCCAGGCUGGAGUGCAGUGGCAUGUUCUCGGCUCGCUGCAGCCUCUGCUUCCUGGAUUCAAGUGAUUCUCCUUCCUCAGCCUCCCAAGUAGCUGGAAUUACAGGCAUGUGCCAACAUGCCGAGCUAAUUUUUUUAUUUUUUGUAGAGAUGGGGUUUCACCAUGUUGCCCAGGCUGGUUUCAAACUCCUGACCUCAAGUGAGCCACCCACCUUGGCCUUCCAAAGUGCUGAGAUUACAGGCUUGAGUCACUGUGCCCAGCCUGAAAUAUCUUCUUCACAUCUUUUCAUAUGCAUAUUUGUUUUUACAAGUACAUAAAUAUACAUUUUUGAUAUAACUUGGAAUCUUGCAUUUUCUAACUCAAUGUCUAACUAAGCCGCAGAACAGGAUGUUGAAUCCAGCACAUUGCAAUACUUGCCUAUCAACAGAGGACAUGGUGAGUUUCCUCAUCCAUAAAACAGAGUUAAUUAAACCUAUGCCCUUGCUAAUCACAGGGAUGCAUUUUGAAUUAAAAGAAUCAU
rnacentral:lncRNA from 1 species